AGCGAACGUUUGCGGCGGGCCUAACACAUGCAAGUCGAACGGGUUGGCAACAACCAGUGGCGCACGGGUGCGUAACACGUAGGUAAUCUACCCUCAAGUUCGGGAUAACGAUCUGAAAGGAUCGCUAAUACCGGAUGUGUUCCGAAAGGAAGAAAGACCCGCAAGGGUCGCUAGAGGACGAGCCUGCGGCCCAUCAGCUAGUUGGUGAGGUAAUGGCUCACCAAGGCUAAGACGGGUAGCUGGUCUGAGAGGAUGAUCAGUCACACUGGAACUGAGACACGGUCCAGACUCCUACGGGAGGCAGCAGUGGGGAAUAUUGCGCAAUGGGCGAAAGCCUGACGCAGCCACGCCGCGUGAGCGAUGAAGGCCUCGGUCGUAAGACUCUGUGGGAGGAGAAGAAUAAAGACCUGUGAAGAGCAGGCCUUGACGGUAGUCUCCUUAGUCAAGCACCGGCGUAACUCCGUGCCAGCAGCCGCGGUAAAGUC
rnacentral:rRNA from 1 species